GGCUGUAAGGGUGAUUUGGUAGCAACAUAUGUCACCCAUUGAGAAUCCAGGGUUGAUUCUGCUGAUCUGGCUGGCUAGGCAGGUGUCCCCUUCUUCUCUCACUGCUCCAUGUGUGUCCCUCUCAAAGCUGCUUGCUCGGUCAAAGAGGAUGACCUUCCCUGGAAGAGGAGAACCAUUCUUCUCCUAAGGGUGUAUGAGUAACUAACUGCUAGAACCUCCAAACAAGCUCUCAAGGUCUAUUUGUAGGAGAACAUAGGGUAAUCAAGCUUCCAGGACGCUCAAUGCAUCCAAGUGAGGUGACAGUCUGCCCUUCUU
rnacentral:snRNA from 1 species